rnacentral:ncRNA from 1 species
CUGAUCAGGACGCAUGGGUCGACGUUCGUGCAACGAGCCCGUUCCCUCUGCUGCAAAAGCAGCAGGCGGAUGCGCCAUUGUCAG